rnacentral:rRNA from 1 species
GGGCCCGCACAAGCGGUGGAGUAUGUGGUUUAAUUCGAUGAUACGCGAGGAACCUUACCAGGGCUUAAAUGUAGUAUGACCGGUCUAGAAAUAGGCCUUCCCUUCGGGGCAGAUUACAAGGUGCUGCAUGGUUGUCGUCAGCUCGUGCCGUGAGUGUUAGGUUAAGUCCUGCAACGAGCGCAACCCCUAUUCUUAGUUGCCAGCGGUUCGGCCGGGGACUCUAAGAAGACUGCCAGCGCAAGCUGAGAGGAAGGUGGGGAUGACGUCAAAUCAUCACGGCCCUUACGUCCUGGGCUACACACGUGCUACAAUGGUACAGACAGAGGGCAGCCACCUGGCGACAGGGAG